CCGCCACAGAGAAACGAAUCGGCAGACCUCCCUCCGACCGAGAUGUGGCCACCUUCCUGAGCGGCCCCCUGGAUGGCGACUUCGCCCGGGACAGGGGCGAUCUCGCCUCACUGUGGUCCCGCGCCCGCAAUGCCACGCGCUGGCUGGGGAAGCGACUGGGCUGCCGCUGGGAAUGGAGCGAAGAACGGCAGGAGCUGGGAGUCCUGAUACCGCGGAUCGGAACGGAGGACAACACCAUCGUCACCCCUGGAGCCAGAGGCGUGCUGGAGAGAUCCCUGAAGGCCGCCGUCCACGCGCUCUACGUGGACAUCCUGAAGAGAAAACCGGACCAGGGUAAGGCCUUCGAAGUAACCAGCAAGUGGGACUCCAGCAACCACUUCCUCCCCACGGGCAGGUUCACCCGGUUCGCUGACUGGCGGUUCAUACACCGCGCCUGGCUGAAUUGCGUUCCCCUCAACAGUGCCAUUUGCCACGGGAACCGGGACAAACGCUGCAGGAAGUGCAGGUACGUCACCGAAACCCUGCCCCACGUCCUAUGCUGCUGCAAGCCCCAUGCCAGAGCCUGGCAGCUGCGCCACAACGCCAUCCAGGACCGCCUAGUGAAGGCCAUUGACCCGCGCCUGGGAGAGGUCACUGUCAACCGCGCCGUCCCCGGCACCAACAGCCCGCUGCGCCCAGACAUCGUCGUCACAGACGAGGUUGGAAAAAAGAUCAUCCUGGUCGAUGUAACGAUUCCAUUCGAGAACAGGACCCCGGCCUUCCGUGAAGCCCGAGCCCGCAAGCUCAAAAAGUACGCCCCCCUGGCUGAUACCCUGCGGACUAAGGCCUACGAGCUGCACACCGACGCUCUGCUCGUUGGGGCCCUGGGUGCCUGGGACCCAUGUAACGAACGCGUGCUGAGGACCUGUGGGGUGGGCCGUCAUUACACGCAGCUCAUGAGACGCCUAACGGUCUCGGACACUAUUCAUUGGUCCCGGGACAUCUACACAGAGCACAUCACCGGCCACCGCCAAUACCGAGAAUGAGCAGGGGAGACCUAGUGCACCCACAAGGGGGAAGAGAUCUAUAAACCCACCCCUGCUGGACUUUGUCCCCUGAGCCCUGAACCCACCGAACCUAACUGAAUCCCACCACGUGAGGGUCACCCCAUCCCCAUUACCCAGCCCACUUAUUUAUACCCAUGACUGUCUCUACUUUCUGUAUGGGUGAUAG
rnacentral:lncRNA from 1 species